CCCGCCCCCCGAUCCAGAUGUGGCGGGGGAGGAACCCCCCGAUCCAGAUGUUGGGGGUGGGGCUGAAGCUCCGCCCACCCCGCAGGUGCGGCGCAGUCAGCGAUUGGCCAAGCUCAGAGAGGGCGGAGCCUCUGCUGGCCCCGCCCCCAGCCCGAAGGGGCGUGGCCAAGGCCCCGGGCCACGCCCCUCACUCAGGCCACGCCCCCAGAGGAAGCGGGACCGGGUGGGGGCGGGGCUUGAUGAGGCCACGCCCUCCACAGCCAUAAAAGGAAAUGGGCGGGGCUCAGACCCUGCCCCCAUCCGGGUGCUGUUCACAGGCCUGGUGGCCUCGCGGGCGCUGCUGGUGGCCCUGGGGACGUUGGGUGGCACCGAGGCCACCUCGGUGCACGACUGCAGCCACCUGGUGACCGAUGGCAUCCGCCGGACACUCAAGUUCCUGUGUGCCCUGGCCAGGGGCGUCCCCAUCGUCACCCCCGAGUGGCUCCUGCAGAGUUCCCGCGGUGGCCGCCCGCUGUCCCCAGGUCCGUUCCUGCCCCGGGACCCCUCCCGUGAGCGGAGCUUCGGCUUCCGGCUGCGGCCAGCGCUGGCCCGGG